GCCUCGCUAGCUCAAUGGCUAGAGCGUGGGACUUUUAAGUGGAAACAUGUGAAAUCCCAAGGUUGCGGGUUCGAGUCCCGCGUGAGGCU